UCUAGAUGUGUGCUUAAAUCUAAUCUAAAUGUCGCUUGUAGUUACUUGUACAUUAUGUUUAUUAAUUCAAAGAUCAAGUGAGUACCAUGAGUUAAGACUAUCUGACUACAGCUCUUGUACCUACAGUUGGACCAAUGGUUGAAAAGUGGAAAUAUAGUGUUUCUACAUAAGACAAGAGAUUACAAUCUAAUAAUCAGGACAACUACUGGUGGGCCAAACCAAAUGGCUUGGCAGGCCAAUUUUGGCCCACGGGUCCCACUUUGGGCACCUCUGGUUUAGAGGAUUUUAGGAUGUUUAUAGAAUUUCUUGACUUAUUAACUACUUCAAACAAGUAACAUACAUUAUUUAUAAAGAGUAAAGGCAAAACCCAUUUUACAUUUAAAGUCUACUUUAUCAUAGAAAACAUGAAAUGGUUUUUAACGUUUUCUGUAUUUUUUCAGUCACACCCUUUUCUUGACAUUGUUUUAGUUUAACAGUUUUUUAUUUAUUUUUAAGCAGUUUUCUUUAAAACUCAAUCUGUUAUUUUCUCUUUCAGUUGUAGAUUUCUUGCUGCCUGAAUGACAAACCUCCCAUCAAACCUCAUCUGUUGGAUCGACAGUGUCUCACAUUUGUUGACUUCAUUGCAAGUUGCAGUUUCUCUGAACACUGCAUGAUGUGACCUCGGGGUGAAGCUGUUGGGACRAAGAGACCAGGGAAGACUGACAGAUGCCUUGUAUGUUUUCAACUUAGGGGUGAAAAUUGUUUUUAGAAAACAAUAAAUUUCUAACAAUUUGGAA